rnacentral:rRNA from 1 species
AUUGAACGCUGGCGGCAGGCCUAACACAUGCAAGUCGAACGAGUGGCGGACGGGUGAGUAAUGUCUGGGAAACUGCCUGAUGGAGGGGGAUAACUACUGGAAACGGUAGCUAAUACCGCAUACCAUCAGAUGUGCCCAGAUGGGAUUAGCUUGUUGGUGGGGUAACGGCUCACCAAGGCGACGAUCCCUAGCUGGUCUGAGAGGAUGAGCAGCCACACUGGGACUGAGACACGGCCCAGACUCCUACGGGAGGCAGCAGUGGGGAAUAGUGCACAAUGGGCGCAAGCCUGAUGCAGCCAUGCCGCGUGUAUGAAGAAGGCCUUCGGGUUGUAAAGUACUUUCAGUGGGGAGGCGUUACCGACAGAAGAAGCACCGGCUAACUCCGUGCCAGCAGCCGCGGUAAUAC